GGAAGUUUGGAUACAAUGGAAUCCAGAAACGGGCUUGACACAGACGCUUUGCCUUCUACUGAGUUGUGUCGGCUCAUUGGAUACAUCCGCAGAGAACCUACCGCCUCUCCGGGGCAGGUAAACGCACGUUCUUCAGCUGGUCACUGGAGGGGUAUUUGAUGACGCGUCCAGCCUCCUUCUGAGACCCGCUGUCAUCCACAAAUGUCCCUCUCGGGCAGAGCCCGGGAUUCAGCCCAGCAGAGACCUUAUUUCAAGUCAUUUGCCUGCUCACAACACCUACAAGAAAAGAGGAAAUUAC